AUUGAACGCUGGCGGCAUGCCUUACACAUGCAAGUCGAACGGCAGCAUGAUCUAGCUUGCUAGAUUGAUGGCGAGUGGCGAACGGGUGAGUAAUACAUCGGAACGUGCCCUGUAGUGGGGGAUAACUAGUCGAAAGAUUAGCUAAUACCGCAUACGACCUGAGGGUGAAAGUGGGGGACCGCAAGGCCUCAUGCUAUAGGAGCGGCCGAUGUCUGAUUAGCUAGUUGGUGAGGUAAAGGCUCACCAAGGCGACGAGCAGUAGCUGGUCUGGGAGGAAGAUCAGCCACACUGGGACUGAGACACGGCCCAGACUCCUACGGGAGGCAGCAGUGGGGAAUUUUGGACAAUGGGGGAAACCCUGAUCCAGCAAUGCCGCGUGUGUGAAGAAGGCCUUCGGGUUGUAAAGCACUGUUGUCCGGAAAGAAAUCGCACUUACUAAUAUUAGGUGUGGAUGACGGUACCGGAAGAAUAAGGACCGGCUAACUACGUGCCAGCAGCCGCCGCCGUAA
rnacentral:rRNA from 1 species